rnacentral:tRNA from 1 species
CCUGGUGUCUCAGAUGAUAAACAGCCUGCCUGUAAUGCAGGGGACCCUGGGUUCGAUCCCUGCAUCAGGA